GAUGAACGCUGGCGGCGUGCCUAAUACAUGCAAGUCGAGCGAACAGACGAGGAGCUUGCUCCUUUGACGUUAGCGGCGGACGGGUGAGUAACACGUGGAUAACCUACCUAUAAGACUGGGAUAACUUCGGGAAACCGGAGCUAAUACCGGAUAAUAUUUUGAACCGCAUGGUUCGAUAGUGAAAGAUGGCUUUGCUAUCACUUAUAGAUGGACCUGCGCCGUAUUAGCUAGUUGGUAAGGUAACGGCUUACCAAGGCAACGAUACGUAGCCGACCUGAGAGGGUGAUCGGCCACACUGGAACUGAGACACGGUCCAGACUCCUACGGGAGGCAGCAGUAGGGAAUCUUCCGCAAUGGGCGAAAGCCUGACGGAGCAACGCCGCGUGAGUGAUGAAGGUCUUCGGAUCGUAAAACUCUGUUAUUAGGGAAGAACAAACGUGUAAGUAACUGUGCACGUCUUGACGGUACCUAAUCAGAAAGCCACGGCUAACUACGUG
rnacentral:rRNA from 1 species